rnacentral:rRNA from 1 species
GAUGAACGCUGGCGGCGUGCCUAAUACAUGCAAGUCGAGCGAACGGACGAGAAGCUUGCUUCUCUGAUGUUAGCGGCGGACGGGUGAGUAACACGUGGAUAACCUAUCUAUAAGACUGGGAUAACUUCGGGAAACCGGAGCUAAUACCGGAUAAUAUUUUGAACAGCAUGGUUCAAAAGUGAAAGACGGUCUUGCUGUCACUUAUAGAUGGAUCCGCGCUGCAUUAGCUAGUUGGUAAGGUAACGGCUUACCAAGGCAACGAUGCAUAGCCGACCUGAGAGGGUGAUCGGCCACACUGGAACUGAGACACGGUCCAGACUCCUACGGGAGGCAGCAGUAGGGAAUCUUCCGCAAUGGGCGAAAGCCUGACGGAGCAACGCCGCGUGAGUGAUGAAGGUCUUCGGAUCGUAAAACUCUGUUAUUAGGGAAGAACAUAUGUGUAAGUAACUGUGCACAUCUUGACGGUACCUAAUCAGAAAGCCACGGCUAACUACGUG